rnacentral:rRNA from 1 species
GACGAACGCUGGCGGCGUGCUUAACACAUGCAAGUCGAGCGAUGAAGUUCCUUCGGGAACGGAUUAGCGGCGGACGGGUGAGUAACACGUGGGUAACCUGCCUCAUAGAGUGGAAUAGCCUUUCGAAAGGAAGAUUAAUACCGCAUAAUGUUGAAAGAUGGCAUCAUCAUUCAACCAAAGGGGUAAUCCGCUAUGAGAUGGACCCGCGGCGCAUUAGCUAGUUGGUGGGGUAACGGCCUACCAAGGCGACGAUGCGGAGCCGACCUGAGAGGGUGAUCGGCCACAUUGGGACUGAGAUACGGCCCAGACUCCUACGGGAGGCAGCAGUGGGGAAUAUUGCACAAUGGGGGAAACCCUGAUGCAGCAACGCCGCGUGAGUGAUGAAGGUUUUCGGAUCGUAAAGCUCUGUCUUUGGGGAAGAUAAUGACGGUACCCAGGGAGGAAGCCACGGCUAACUACGUGCCAGCAGCCGCCGUAACAC